rnacentral:rRNA from 1 species
AGAGUUUGAUCCUGGCUCAGGACGAACGCUGGCGGCGUGCUUAACACAUGCAAGUCGAGCGGUAAGGCCCCUUCGGGGGUACACGAGCGGCGAACGGGUGAGUAACACGUGAGCAAUCUGCCCAUCACUUCGGGAUAACUCCGGGAAACCGGUGCUAAUACCGAAUACGACCACUUCAGGCAUCUGACGGUGGUGGAAAGUUCCGGCGGUGAUGGAUGAGCUCGCGGCCUAUCAGCUUGUUGGUGGGGUAAUGGCCUACCAAGGCUUCGACGGGUAGCCGGCCUGAGAGGGUGACCGGCCACACUGGGACUGAGACACGGCCCAGACUCCUACGGGAGGCAGCAGUGGGGAAUAUUGGACAAUGGGCGAAAGCCUGAUCCAGCAACGCCGCGUGAGGGAUGACGGCCUUCGGGUUGUAAACCUCUUUCAGCAGGGACGAAGCGCAAGUGACGGUACCUGCAGAAGAAGCACCGGCCAACUACGUGCCAGCAGCCGCGGUAAUACGUAGGGUGCGAGCGUUGUCCGGAAUUAUUGGGCGUAAAGGGCUCGUAGGCGGUUUGUCGCGUCGGGAGUGAAAACUCAGGGCUUAACCCUGAGCCUGCUUCCGAUACGGGCAGACUAGAGGUAUGCAGGGGAGAAUGGAAUUCCUGGUGUAGCGGUGAAAUGCGCAGAUAUCAGGAGGAACACCGGUGGCGAAGGCGGUUCUCUGGGCAUUACCUGACGCUGAGGAGCGAAAGUGUGGGGAGCGAACAGGAUUAGAUACCCUAGUAGUCC